rnacentral:rRNA from 1 species
AACGAACGCUGGCGGCAUGCCUAACACAUGCAAGUCGAACGAAACCUUCGGGUCUAGUGGCGCACGGGUGAGUAACGCGUGGGAACGUGCCCUUAGGUUCGGAAUAACUCCCCGAAAGGGGUGCUAAUACCGGAUAAGGUCUACGGACGAAAGAUUUAUCGCCUGUGGAUGGGCCCGCGUUGGAUUAGCUAGUUGGUAGGGUAAAAGCCUACCAAGGCGACGAUCCAUAGCUGGUCUGAGAGGAUGAUCAGCCACACUGGGACUGAGACACGGCCCAGACUCCUACGGGAGGCAGCAGUGGGGAAUAUUGGACAAUGGGCGAAAGCCUGAUCCAGCCAUGCCGCGUGAGUGAUGAAGGCCUUAGGGUUGUAAAGCUCUUUUACCCGUGAUGAUAAUGACGGUACCGGGAGAAUAAGCCCCGGCUAACUCCGUG